rnacentral:misc_RNA from 1 species
GAUGAAGAACGCAGCGAAAUGCGAUAAGUAAUGUGAAUUGCAGAAUUCAGUGAAUCAUCGAAUCUUUGAACGCACAUUGCGCCCGCCAGUAUUCUGGCGGGCAUGCCUGUCCGAGCGUCAUUUCAACCCUCGAACACCUCCGGGGGGUCGGCGUUGGGGAUCGGCCCUUUACGGGGCCGGCCCCGAAAUACAGUGGCGGUCUCGCCGCAGCCUCUCCUGCGCAGUAGUUUGCACACUCGCAUCGGGAGCGCGGCGCGUCCACAGCCGUUAAACACCCCAAACUUCUGAAAUGUUGACCUCGGAUCAGGUAGGAAUACCCGCUGAACUUAAGCAUAUCAAUAAGCGGAGGA